GAAGAGUGACAGAAAUGUCUCUAGAUGGGAUUCCGGACCUUCCGGAGGAGGCUUCUUUGAAGGCCACCUGGCGAUUGCAUGGAUUCUGAUUCUCCCCGUAGUGAUCUUGCCUUUCCAGGGAGUCCUACUCAUGAUGCUGAUGCACCCAAUUAGAGCCGGUAGUUAAGAUCCCUGGGAUUGUUCUGGGCCCUGGAAAAGAAUGGCAGCAGGAAGCGUUCUUGGAGGGAACAGCAUUUGAACAGUGACCUGACAGAGGUGUGAAUGCUGGUCAUUGGAGGGUCCGGAGGAAGAACAUUCCACGAGGGGAAAACUGAAAAUGCAAAGGUCGUGAGGUGGAAACAUGCCUGGAGUGUUGGGAGAAUUUCAAGGGGGCCAGUGUGGCUGGAAUGGAGUAAAACAAAGGCUCGCAUGCCAGGAACAGCAUGACUUCAGCCCUGUGGAAAUACAGUAAGUGUACAGAAAAAAAAUUCUGAGGAGAGAUAGCAAGAUUAUGACACUAUAGGUCAUCUUGAUUUCCUUUCUUUUGAUUGCCUACAAUAUUCUGAAUUUUCUGCCACGUGUGUAUUACUUUAGAAAGAUAAAAAUAACGAACGUCUUUAUACAAAAGUUUCUGUGGAGCUCAAUACCUUUGCCUUGGAUGCUCUGAUUGGUUGCUGGGUGUUUAGAUAGCCACUCUGACUGUGCCUCAUUCCAGGAACAGGGGAGAACCCCCAGCUGGGAAAGUCAGAGGGAGGUGCUUAUCCAGAUGCUCUCAGGUAAACACAGUUUACUCUCAGGUAAACACACACUGAUUUACAGUUAGCGGUGAAGGUGCUAAUGUAUCCUCUCAAUGAUAUCUCCCACUAUCAGCUAUCAAUACUUGUUAGCAGAAUCCAAUAACGACUUAAUUGGCAACAGAGAUCUGAACAGAUGUCUCACCUAAUAAAAAGCUUUUGUGACCAGCAAGCUGACCCCUUUUGGGCUUAGCUGGGCUUUGGUACUUUGUGUAUGACCCCUUUUGGCAGUUGUCAUUAAUCAGACAAACUGGCUGAUUGUUGAUUGCUGUGUGUACCAAGUCUACGAGUCAAACCUGGACCCAUGGAGUGUACUUAGACCAGGUUCCCUGAACUCUGACCUCUGACUUGUCUUCUGUCAUCUCAUUUAAUACACACACAGGCUAGACUCAAGGGCUUUAUUGGCGUCAAUUGUAAAUAGCUAUUGUAGCUAGAUUCUUCACCCACCCAUUCACCCUGUGAAUCCCUGGUGGAUUACUAUGGACCCUUCAUCACACAGAUUUAAGUAAGUAAAGAGGUUGUUACUGGUGCUUAUCUCUCUCCUUAACAAAGAGGAUCUGUGUGUGGUGUGAAGUGAACUGGCCUGAGGAUCCAUCCACUGGUAGAAAUGACCCCGAAGACUUCCUGUGCAGGGAGGGCAAAGAAAAAAGUGCUUUGGGAUAGAGAGAUCCCUUUUCCUCCUCCUGAAUGUGUUAGGUAAGGUCAAGAGAAUGGUUAUUAGAUUGCAAAGGCAUUUUAUCUUCCAAACUUCUGCUUGAAUCAAUUAUGUUGGUGAGUAGAAUAUGCUAUUGUUAAGAGAAUAGUCUCUUUACGGAGGCUUAAACAACCAAAUAACACAAUUAAUGUUCAUGAUAUUAAGAAUAAAUGCCCAGAGACAGCAUUCAGAACACAAGUAGAGCAUUUCCUUGCGAAUGAAGAUGUUGAAAGGUUUGUAUUCUGUAAUCCUAAUUUCAAAGUUCACAAGUAGUCAAUAAAAAAGGAAAAGAUAGUUGCGUGAUCAAAUACAUUUGGGCCUUGUUAGGUUUGACAAAGUGAGCCAGGUUGUUUUACUGCAGAAACCUUAUCAGAACCUUUCAUGUAUAAGAUAAUUAAUGGAAGUGUUAUUUUGACUUAACCCUUCUUACAAAAUAGUGGUGUUAGGUAGAAUACAGGCCAAUCUUUAUACAGAAGCUGACAUGCAUCUUUUUUUUCUAAUUUUUUGUAUUUAGUGGUUCACAAAUUUCUGAUUAAAGGGAAUAAGUUGAAUUUUUUUCAGGCUUCCCGUUAGUCUCACCAGUAAUAAGCAUAGUUUUCUGAAUCAGUGAAGAGAUGAAUUCAUGGACGAAAUGGAACGGAGAAGUGGAUCAGCAAAAUGUUCUCAAGAGUCUUGUUGCUUCCUCUCUGGCUCUAUUUUUGUUAUUGUAUGAUUCUGGGCCAUUUCCUGUUAUUAUUACACUUAUUGUUGUCAGAGGAAACCAAUUCGUUUUAAUAUUAGCCUGAGCAAAACAUAAUUAGGAAGAGAAUCUGCUACCAAAAAGGAAACACGUAUGUGCGACUUUGCAUUCCAAAGCCCAGUACUCAGAUAAACACGCACACGCGUGCACACACACGCACAGGCAGGCACACAUACGCACACAUGGGCACACACACAGAGGAGCCCUCUCUAUACAAUCUCAAAACAUCCUGCCAAGCCAAUAAAAAACAGUCUUAGCCACUCCAAGGAAAAACAGCCUGAAAACCAGAUGAUUUACCAAGCGUUACACGCUUCCUAUUUUUAUUUUGGAAGAGGAAAGAGAAGAGGUGAUAGAGAAGGGGCGAAAAAAGAAGGGGAUUGGCAAGGGAACAGCUUGGAGGUUGAAGGCUGAACUUCUGGCCUUCCCUUCUUAGAUCUUUCAGUACUCCAGGCUCACUACUGACAUUUGUCUCCUGUGAGCUGAAACCUCUGGGUACUUGAAAGUCCAUCAUAUCCAUUCAUGUGCUAAGACUUCCUUCUUUCUCCCUUCUCUCCCUCUUUUUGCCCUCCCUUCCUAACAAAAGGAUUUUCUCUUAACUGAGUGUACAGUUCACCCCCUUGGAAGGAUCACCAUUUCCUGGACAGAUGCAAGAGUUGGGAAAGGGUCUGGAGAAGAAGCGGAGGAGGGAGAGGGAACCAGCAGGCGAGGAAUGCCAAUUCUACCAGGCUCUGUUAGGUCCUUUCAUGGUUUAUUUUAUUUAAUACACACAAUCAUAGUCUAAGAUAGGCAUUGUUAUCAUCCCAUUCUACAGAUGAGGAAAUUGGGCUUACAGAGGCUAAGAAAUUGCACAAGGUUACAAGGUUAGGAAGUAUUGGAGGCAGGAUUUAAAUACAGACAAGUUUACUAACUUCAAAGCCAAUACUUUUACCCACAAUCCUAAUGUACUUCAUUUAACUUCUUCAGGCUUCAGGGUUCCUAUUUAUGAAAUAGAGACUAUCCCUAUUUUCACUCUUAUCCCUCCAAUAUUGUUCCCUACACAGUAGACAGAAAGAUAGCAGCCAUUUGAACUGGGCUUAGCUUCCAGAGGCAUGCGAUAAAAUUAAUGUCUGCAGUCAGCCUGCGUGUGCUGGUAUGGAUCUACUCCACAAAAUCCUCAGGGACCUAAGCUUCUUCCAACUCCGCACUGUCCCAUCCAGAGGGGUGACCCUUGUCUUCAUAGUCCAAUAUAGCAGCUGGAGCUCCAACCAUCACAUCUGCAUUCUAGGCAGAGGAUGAAGAACAAAGUAAAGAAGAAAAAGGUCAAAACCACCUGUCUUUUAAGCGUGACUUUUGAAUUACCCCAUCACACUUCCACUCAUGGUCCAUUGGCCAGACUUAGUGUUAUGGCUAUACCUGCCUGCAGGAAAGACUGGGAAAUAUAGUCUUUAUUCUGUGAUGCCAUGCAUCCAGCUAAAAUUGUGGGUUUUCUAUCAUGCAAGAAGGAAGGAAUGACUACUAGGGAUAGUGCACAGUGUCUGCAAGAGGAACGCUUUCAAAAUGUAAGUUAGAUCAUGUUACUCUGCUGAAAACUGGGUAAAGUCUUCCCACUCGCUCAGGCUGAAAGCCAACAUCUUUGCAGUGUCCAAUAAGGCCUUCCAUGCCUUGUUCUCAAGACUCAUUGCUUCCUCUCUGGCUGGGCCCUUCUUCUCAUCUGGACCCUUCGUUCCUUAAGUCUCUGCUCAAACAUCACUUCAUCGGGACCACCCUCCAGAAAACAGUAUCCACUUCCCUAUGACUCUCUGUACCCUUUACCUGGCUUUGUUUUUGUUUUCUGCUUUUAUCCGCACCUUAUCCCACCUGACAUAGUCUAUAUUUGUUCAAUUUGCUUAUUGUCUAUUUUCCUACUAGAAUAUAAGCUCAAUGAGAUCUACGACCUCAUCUGUUUUUUUCACUGCUCUAUAUUUCAGGGCCUAGAACAGUGGCAGGCACACCGUAGACAUCCAAUAGACAAGAGUUGAAUAGAUGAAUGAUUGAAUAAAUUCUUGCUUUCUCCAGCUUCCAAAAUUUGAGAGAGGAUGAAUGGAAGUUUCCAAUCUCAAAGAGCCUUGAAAAUAGGAGGAGUCAAAUAUAAAUUAUUAUUAGCUGUCCUUUGAUGUCCUCCCAUUUGUAAAUGUGCUCUGUUAACUGUGAAGAAUAAUGCAAAUGUGAUUGGCCAUCAUUGUUUUGAAGUAAGGCUCAGUGGGAUAGAAUUUUCAGUCAUUUCUUCCCAAAGGACCAGAACUAUUCAUUUUAAAUCCAUUUCUUCCCUGCCUUCAGUUUUGAAUGAAGAUGGCUUUGCUGCUCAUAGUUUCCUAAUAUAUCACUUUGAUGGUUUAUUUCACCUUAAGUAGCAUGGAAUUGAAGUCUGAGACUGUAUCAGGCUGAUUUCAGGUCUCUUUUGCUUCCCUUUGUGACAUCGCAGUAGGGGAGAAUUGUCAAGCUGUGCCUGGCCAAGUUAAAUGAGGAGACCAGAUGGUCAGAAAGAAAGGAAUUUUGGUCCAGGUUUAGGAGGAGAAAAGCUGGAGGCAAAACUCCUGCAUAGUUUUUGACCUGGAGAUCACAACACUGAGCACUGGGGGUACGUUGUUGAAUGCUGGGGCACCCCAGCAGAGAUUUGCAAUGCAGGAGUUCCUUUUGGUGGUACUCUCCUAGGACUUUCUGCCAAAACUUCAAAAUGAUUUUGCUGUGCUAGAGUUUUGGUUAUAUGGGACUUUUAGUUUUCAGAGACAGAGAGCAUUGAUUUAUGUUAAACACAACAAAAAGGAAAAAAAAAACGGGAGGUAAAGAAGUCACUUUUGGCUUUUGCUUUUAGCAGGCAAUUUUAAGAAAAAAGAAAACAAAAUCCAAAACGGGGGGAAGAAAGGAUGGAAGGAAACAAAGCAGCGCUAUAGAAGGUGAUUUUUAAUAUCUCUAUCCCCCAACACAGAGAAGGCAGCUGGUGCAGAAACCCAGAAGCUGUUCCAAGUUGCAUUACGAAGUGGCAUCGUGAGCUUUCUGGCACUGAGACAGGGUGAGGAGGCAAGAGAUAGAAAGUCAGGCAGGAGAAGGUGGCAAGGGUCCAGGCAGGAAGCAGUCUGAGUGUGAACAAGUGUCUUCGUGGUAGGGACAGAUGGAAAAAAAGACCUUAGAAAAAAUACUGCUGAGAAAGGAAGAGCCUGACUUCUUAAUGUCCUCUGAUAAAGCAUUUCAUCGCAGCUGGUGUUCAGCAGUCCUGGUUUUUAAUAUGCUGACUGCUGUGCUUGAUAUCAAAUGGCAAGGCUUCUGCUCUGUGGCCUCAAAGCUUAAAUGUUACCCCAAAAGAAUAAACAUACAACACUGUUCUAGGAGUACCAGAAUGCCAGGGUUGCCAGGGUUGACUGAGCUUGUCCAGGUUUUAUUCUGAUUGUCUCUAGCAUGCCUUGGUGACCUAAUAGCAAUGUGGCGUGUCUAUAGCUGAGACGAUAAGCCACUUUCACAUCACCUUCCUCAUUUAAACAUUCUAACCACCCUCUGGCAGGAAAGUGGAGUGAAUUAUGGUCACCAUUACAAAGAUGAGAGGACUGAGGCUCACUGAGGUUGGAUGGCUUGCCCUCAUUUGUAAAAGUGAGAUUAGUAUCUGGUUUUCUGUCUCCUAAUGUUUGCCUUUUCUUCGAGUUAUUUACCAGAGUUAGUUAUCAAUGCUGACUGAGUGUGCACUCUCCUAGACACCGGGGAGAAGCAGAAGAGGAAACCAGAUAUGAUCCUUCUCCUUGGGAUUCUCCUGACCUAAGAAAAAAGACAGAUGAAUGCAGAUAACUGAGUCUAUAUACAGAGACUACCACAAGUUCACACUUUACUGAAUGUUCAAACAUAGUCAUGCACCCUAAGGGCAUUGUUGGAAGCUUCUGGAACUAAGUCUCUGGGGAUUUGAAUCAACUCAGAAGACUGACUCAUUCACUUGGCUGUGGAGGCUAUUCCAGAUAUUAGGAGCUAUGUAUGUGGGGCCCUGGAUUUGGGCCAAAAGAUGCAUUUGACUGGAGAGAAGGGAUUGAGAUUUGAGCAGUUGUUGGACAACAUAGAAAUGAAACAGCCAUAGCAAACUUGCCUGCCGUGAUUUCUCUGCUGAGAUAAUGGAACUUUUCAGACUCCCUGUAACUGGGAUCUAGAUAAAAAGAGAUGUCUGGAAAAAACUGGUCCCAAUUGUCGCUUGGCUUUGCUUUCAUAGCUAUCUGAAUGUGGCAUAUGUCAGACUUUGAAAUGCUGGGUCUCUUGGAAAUACAAAUACCAUCUGGUUCUGGAUAAUUCCCAGAAACCUAGGCUACUCAGUAGGAAAUGAGGAGCUGGAAACAUAAUACUGAGACCAGGGGCUUGUUCUUGGGCCACCCUGUCUCGUGUCCUGGUCAUAGUCACAUUACUCAUACAGAAAAUGUCAAUGGGAAGACACCACAGGGUUCAUCUUUUCAUGACACAGUGACCUCUGUUUUGGACAUCCUGAUUUCUCUUUGAGAAGCCAUCCCUCCCCUAGUGUUUAUAGUCUAGCAGCCAAGUCCCCCUUGCCUUGGCCAAGGGCAGCCUGAAACUCAAACAGGGCCCAUCCCUUAUCCCUAGAUGGAAAUCUUGAGCAGAGUGCCUGACAGGACUGAAGAUGGCUGCAGUUCUAUCAAGCAGACAGUGGUUCUCUGAAGAGGCUCCCCUCUGCCCACACCCAUGAGUGUCUGCUCCCCAGACGCUCCAAUCCUACUUCUCCAGCUUUACCUUCUGUUCCGUGAGCUGCUUCCUUUUCUUUCUCCAAAUCCCUCUUUUGCUGGUUGGACGAAGAUUGUUUCUGUUGCCUGCAAUCAAAGAACCCAAAAGGAUGAACAGGCGAAAUCAUAAACAUACUUUUAAGUGCUUGGGAUAUGCCUGCUUCUGUCCAUCUUUCAACCCACUUGCAUCAGAUGCCCCCUUAGAGGAUGAGAGCCUGUCCUGUGAACCAUGGUGGUUCAGAGUGGAACAGAGCAGAGUGUGGAACACCAGGAGUUACAGCAAUCAGUGAAAUAUGAUGUAAGCCUCUAUUUCAGAAAUUAUAUAUAAUAAUCAACUGAUUAUUAGUAAUCAAUAAUAGCCUUCCCGUUUUAUAUCAAGCACAGCACUCAGCAUAUUAAAAACAAGGACUGUUGGACACCAGCUGCGAUGAAAUGCUUUAUCAGAGGACGGCCCUUGAUGUCUACGUCCAUUUGCAAGUAUGGCAUUAGUUACAAGGCUGAUUUAAGUAUAAUCAGUAAGUUUAUAUGCUGGAUGCUCAAGAUGAUUUCUGGCUAAACAUGGAAUUUCUAUUUCUAUUUUCCUUAUGUUAAAAGUCAGAACAGUAAAAUGUAUUCCUAAUGUCACUAUUAUGACAUUUACAUCCCGAAAGUUGCAGUAAAUGAUCAAUACAAUAGUGGAAUGCCUAGAAACCUGUUCCUUUUUUGCUAGAAAAAAAAAGGAGGGCACUUUUUAUGUCUUUGAUGUGAAGUUCAUGUUCUUUGACAGUGACUGAUGGAACAUGCUACAGAAAAGGCUGAUUACAUUUUACUAGAGAAGUGAAAAAGAAAUGCAGGAGAAUCUCACAGCUCUGGGAUUGAAUGGAAAGCAAAGGAGGAGCUCUUCUAGGGGGCUAUCUGAUGCCUCUGUAUAGCUACUGAAUCUCUGGGGCCAUGGAUGGCAAUUUAGUUCAUCAGUAGGUCAGCGUUCAAGAGUAUGGGCUGGGUGCAGAGUAAGCAACCUGCUGAGAGUAAUGGCCACGGCUUUACUUCUGUCUUCAAAAUCCUGAACAAGCUCCCCUUUUGGCCAACUCUAACCUGGAACCAUGCAGAUUAGGAAGAGAAAGAGAAGGGGAUUCUGAGAAAGAUUUUAGCAUGGUCAAGUUGAUAACGGAAUGAUUCAGAACAAUGAAACCCUUAUCAACUAGGUAUAUCUCUUUUUUUCUAUAUUUAUUGUCCAAAGAAAGCAAAAUCAUGCUUUCA